CAGAGCAGACAGCUGGAUUUUCAGUGAUGGCAGAAGAAAAGUUGAGGAUCCAGAUACAGGAAGCAGGAUUAACUAAAAGAAGUGAGGAGGUAGUCCUCAAACUUGUCAAUAUUUCUAAGAACUGCAGAUAAGACUACAGAAAACCCAAUUAUAACUGGUGUGACUGCAAAGAAGUGAGAAGAAAGGAGAAAAUGAGAUGCUCCAUUAGAAAAUACCAUCCAGAAUUGACAGAUUAAGCUAUUUGAAAUGAAGGCAAUCGUGAAUGAUUUUGGGGAUAUUUUAUUUUAUGUGUAAAUCGGAUCAUUGGCUGAAAAAUAAUCACUUGGUCCAUCAAAGACAUAACCCAGAAAUGAGGUGGAGAUAGAAGUUAACAGAGGAUGAGUAAUAGAGAUCUCCUUUGAAACUAAAAAAAAAAAUAGAACCUUCAGCAAACCCCAAAAGUAGCAAAAAAUCCAUCUGCUAGGCUAAUGAAGAUGAUUGGUACAAGUCUGUGCUGCCUACUGUCCCCACUUCCCUCUCUUUAAAGCCUAAGCAGGACAAGAGAUGAAGAAGAGCUGCAGUAGCAAGAGGAUUUUUGUAUAAAAUUGAAGAAAGCAAGCCUUGGAUGCCAUCCACUCAACCCCAGAAGACAGAGUUGUGUACAGCACACGUUUUCAUUAGCUUCAGGUAUUCAGUGCUCAUUUGCUAAAGAACAAAGUACACAGUGCCAAGGAACAGAAAUUAAAGAGUGUGAGAAAGUACUGCAGCCCACAAGUUGUGCAAACGAUGACAGACAACUACAAUUAAAAGUUCUGUCCUUAUCACUGAAACAGAGUGAGAAGAGGGCGCUUUGUGUUCUGAUGGGACUAAAGACACAAGAGAACACAGCUUGACGGGUACGAAGCACAGCAUUAGUUUAGGACAACGGUAUCAACUGAGACCAAAGGAGGAAACGCUUUUUUGCUGUGGCUUUCAGAUUCUCAUUCUAUUUGCCAUGGCACGGUGAUGAUGAAGGCUGCAAUUUCUCUUUUACGUAGAGCAACGUGGAAGUUUCUGGUAUUAAGCGCAGGCUAUUCCAGCCCUUUGGCAAUCUCAAGGUCAUUUUGCUGUCCUCCAUUCCUGCUGUAUUGCAUCAGGAAGGUCUACGCCCAGACAAAAGGAAACGGGCAUCAUUUUUUGAGCCAGAUAGAGCCAACAAUCUUACUCAGGGUCCGGUUUAGAAGUCAUGGUCUUUCAACAUUCAGAGAAAAUUCGCAUAAACUUUGCGUCUUGCAAGAGGAACCCAUUAACAAACGGAGGUAGAGGCCUGUCCAGAUGGGCUAUGCGGCAAGGCAGUCACCUGGAUAGCGUGCAACAGCCUGUCCUUUCCCCUGCAGCAUCACCUCACCCUGUUAAAGGAAGGUUUUGAAGCAGGAUGACCUGGGCAUGAGUAUCUGCAAAGGAUAAGGGGAAAAUGAGCCAAAGAGUGGUUGUUUGGAAGGCAAGAGGAAUCUGCAAAUACCAGACGUGCCACAGUUACUCAUGGAAAUUAAGAAUAAAAUGAGAACACUCUAAGGAAAAGAUUAAAGAAUUGAAUUGCAGUUUUUCUACAGAAAUGUGAUGCUAUUGUGUACAGAGGUCUAAUACGGCUGAGCUGUGCUCCAUGAAAUUAAAGACAGUAUCUGGACUGCUUUGAAGCUGAAUUAAGAACAUCAGAGACCCUGGAUUCUGGCAAAACUUAUCAAAUUUCCAAAGAAGAAAAGUAAACCAUUCUAGAGUAUCCAGCUGCCACAGAUCUAAGCCACAGUAUUGCUGGAAGCCAGAAGAGUUUUUAGGAAGAAUGCAGCAUGAACCUUCCCAUUUCACAUGGUCAUUAUCAGUGGUAAAAAGACUUCUGUACUCAUUUUUCUUAUUAAAUUAAGGUUCCAGCACCAUCAAAUUAAUACAUGUUAUCUAUGCCCUUAUAUGCUAUGAUGCAGAAAUUACAAGGCCAUUUAAUUCCUAGAGCAAGCAAUAGGGUAUCAAGUGCCAUAUAGAUUCCCUCUCAAGCUGACAGAGUGGAAAUUAAUUUCUUCAAAUUUUCCUAGAAUAUUUAUGGUUUACCAUUUAGCAGCAGUUGUUAAAUCACUAUCACUUCAGUGGCCAAGAAAGCUCAAUUCCAACUUUUUUUCCCACUUUUACUUUUUUGCUGGUUAACAAAGUUAAGACACAAAAUGAAAGAAAUUGCAGUAAGAACAAUUUUUCUUCAUAUCUGAGCAGGAAAAAAAGCCUUUGAGAAUGUGGGUUUGCUAAUUUCUGGCACAAUUACCUCUCCUCUGAACCAUCAUGAAUAAAGCCUUAUCUCUUAAAGCUUCUAUAAACUAUAUCUGAAUCAUAGUCAUAUUGAGGUCAAUUUGGAAUGGCAGUGAUGCCUACAGAAUUUCCUUCAUUUUAUUCCCAUGUAACUAACUGUAAAAUGUAGGACCUAAAAUGCCUAGGAUCUCUCCUUGGAUGUGGAUUUUUCACCAAACUUUGUAUUUUCAGCUUUGUAUUUCCCUGAAGGAGGACACAGCAAGCAAGGAGAAGAAUAAAGAAUUAAAAGAACAUGUUCUCUCUUUAAAUUACUUUAGUUCAAAUAUAGACAGCAAGAAAUAAUGUUGCAUGCUCUCUAAUGAUACUAUUAUGAAAAUCUAAACACAAAUUUAUGUAUCCUCCCUCUUUUUUUUUUUUUUUUUUUUUUUUUUUGGUAUAUGUGU